CCCUUCUCAGGGUCACACCUGGAGAGGUUCCAGGACUCUACCAGUCUCGGCUACGGGAGGGAGAGUCAAGCAGAGGCAUACCCAUUCCAUUCCUAUCGUGGCCAGUGGCUAGUGAAUGGAAGGCAAUCUGCUACAAGU
rfam:Ornithorhynchus anatinus chromosome 3, whole genome shotgun sequence.